CGCUGGCGGCACGCCUAACACAUGCAAGUCGAACGCAGUAGCAAUACUGAGUGGCAAACGGGUGAGUAUAAUGUGGGAAUCUGCCUUUUGGUUUGGAAUAACACGGGGAAACUUGUGCUAAUACCGAAUAAGCCUUUACAGGGAAAGUUUUAACGCCGAAAGAUGAGCCCGCACUUGAUUAGCUAGUUGGUAAGGUAAAAGCUUACCAAGGCAAUGAUCAAUAGCUGUUCUUAGAGGAAGACCAGCCACAUUGGGACUGAGACACGGCCCAGACUCCUACGGGAGGCAGCAGUGGGGAAUCUUGCACAAUGGGGGAAACCCUGAUGCAGCGAUGCCGCGUGAGUGAAGAAGGCCUUUGGGUUGUAAAACUCUUUCGUCGGGGAAGAAAAUGACUGUACCCGAAUAAGAAGGUCCGGCUAACUUCGUGCCAGCAGCCGCGGUAAUACGAAGGGACCUAGCGUAGUUCGGAAUUACUGGGCUUAAAGAGCUCGUAGGUGGUUAAAAAAGUUGAUGGUGAAAUCCCAAGGCUUAACCUUGGAACUGCCAUCAAAACUUUUUAGCUAGAGUGUGAUAGAGGUAAGUGGAAUUUCUAGUGUAGAGGUGAAAUUCGUAGAUAUUAGAAAGAACACCAAAUGCGAAGGCAACUUACUGGGUCACCACUGACACUGAGGAGCGAAAGCAUGGGUAGCGAAGAGGAUUAGAUACCCUCGUAGUCCAUGCCGUAAACGAUGUGUGCUAGACGUUGGAAAUAUAUUUUUCAGUGUCGCAGCGAAAGCAUUAAGCACACCGCCUGGGGAGUACGACCGCA
rnacentral:rRNA from 1 species